rnacentral:rRNA from 15 species
ACCAACACCGGCGGCAGAGACUGGUGUCAGCACCGCGGUAAGAUCCCUCUCCCGGAGCUG